rnacentral:siRNA from 1 species
UAGUCGUUCGUAGUGGUCUGAA